AACCCGUGUCCACAUGACAAAAUCACAGUAGUCUGACUGUUACCGUAGAAAUCACAGUAGUCAAAGCAUUACUGUAAAAAAAAUUACAAGAUAGCCACUGUAGUACUGUAAAUACUAAAGUAAACUACUGUAUUUUCCUACUUUAUCUUAUCUUACACUCUUAAAAACAUAUUGGUUAAAAAUAACUUUAGCCCCAAACAUAGCAACAUGUAGGCUUACCCUUUCUGGAACAUUUAUGUAGGCCUACCUUUUAUAAAUAAUUCACAAAAAGGCCUAAACAGUAAUGUGUCACUCAAAUGUUGUUGGGGGAGGGGAUUUUGGAGCAACCGUUACUUUUUUCUUCAAGUCAACUUCAGUCCUCACUCACUCACCAAGUGAUGCAGCAACUUUCAACAGGGGAGCUUCUGGAGUAUGAGAGAAAACACGUUUGUAGGAUGGAAAAAUCUUUGUGGAAGAGGAGGCACAGCUAUUCAGAGGGGUCCCUCCAAUGCAGAAUAUGGGGAGAAUAAGUGCUAACAAUGAAGUACCUGUCCAGAAGGAUCUAACAGCUAUGACAACUGGGAUUCUGGGUCUCCAAGGUCAGAGGACCAUAGACCUUUAUAUCAAGUGUCAGGGGAAUGAUAUUUGUAAGAAGUUUCUUUUCAUUUAUGUUUUAAGUGUUCAUGCAUAUGUUCAUUAUUGUUCAAUGUUUUAUUUUAUUUCAAUAUUGCCAUUGUGUUAAUCAUUGCUCUUUAAAACGUGCAAAUAAGGUUGGUUUUUUUUUUUUGACCGUAUUUUAUCAAUUCACAUUAUUGUUCCAUCAUGUUAACUUUGGAUAGUCUAAUGGCGUGUCGUCCAUUAUCCCUAACUUAUGUUGUACCUGUUUUGUCAUGUUCCUGUUCACCAAAUGUCUUAAAUAAAUAACUGUUAACAAUUUCUUGU